CAAAAAAACCCAGCGAACUUCCAGCGAAAGUUCGCUGGAAAUUAAAAGAUCACUGGAAAUUUACUAAGAUCACUGGGUUUUCGCUGGAUUUCCAUGGAAACAAAAGACUUCGCUGGAAGUUCGCUGGAAAUCCAACAAAAAACUUCCAGUGAUCUUAAAGUUCGCUGGAAGUUUACUGGGUUUCUUGCGAAAUAUUUCGCGGUGAUGUAAAAAGCGUUGCUGUUACAACUUCUGCAAGCAGUUAAAACUUGGAAAAUUGAUAAUAUAGCUUCUUAAAAUAAUAUUUCAAAUUUUUGUAUAAAAGUAAUCCUUUUUAUUUUAUUUUUUGCAUCUAAUAGAUGAUCUAUAGUGUGAGUUUCAAUUAUUAUUAGUUCUACUCAAGUUACAAAACAAAAUCAUCUGAAGACACUGUACUGUUGUAAAUAAUCUUUUAUCUGCAAUCAGUGUGCCAAGCAAUAUAAGACAGACUCGAUGAUCAUUAAGUUGUAUAAAGCAUUGGAAAGG
rnacentral:misc_RNA from 1 species